AGAUAUGGAAUUCUAAUCCUAAACGAAGUUUUAGACGAGCCGCAGUGAAAAAGGAUUGUUUUAAAUGGGCCACAACCCAAGAAUCUACAUAUGGAUAUUUGACUGGUCAAAAAUUGAUUUGCCAAUGAGAUUGAAUCAUAGUUUUUGCAGAUGAAAAUAAACCUUUGGACUACUGCUGUGAGACCUAACGAUUUGCAGGAAAAUGUCACAGAGGUCCAGCAAAGAUAGGAGAGUAUGGCAUAUCAUCUUGGCAUACACCCCUCAACAAGAGAAUAGUGAUGAGGAGGAGGAGGAAUUCGGAGAGAAAUUAGAAUACAUAUAUCAAGAGUGUUUCCAAGAAGUGAACUACUAGUGUUAUCUGAGAACAUGAAUGCCCAUGUAGGGGAGAGUUCUGAUGGUUUUGAAAAAAUACAUGGAGGUGGUGGUUUGGAAAGAAAAAAAACCAGGAAGGUGAAAGAUUAUUGGAAUUAACAGAAGCUAAGAAUCUGGUAAUCUUGAAUAAUACACAGUUAGAGAAAAGGAGAAGUCAUCUGGUAACAUACAAAAGUGGGCAAAAAUGAGACAAAAGGGUUCAAAUAGCUGUGAAGGAAAAGAGUAUAGCCAGAAGAGGGUGGAUAGAAGAUAACUACCAAACAAAAGAGGAGUAUAGACAGACAAAGAGGGAAACAAAGAGCGGUAGUAAUUGCAAAGGGAGAAGCCAGGAGAGAAUGGUAUGAGAUAAUGGGAACACCUGAGGGAGAUAAUGGGAACACCUGAGGGAGAAAAGAUAAUCUACGGAAUUGCAGAAGUGAGAAGAAAAGACAGGCAGAAUGUAGGAGAGGUCGGAAUUAUUAAAGAUGAAAGUGGAAAUAUCUUGAUUGCGGAAGAGGUAGUCAACAGAAGAUGGAGAGACGCUAUUAAACAAUGAGAAUGAGUGUGAAAAACUGGAAAAAGUUCCUCCAGUAAAAGGACCAAUAGCAAAUAUCAGAGAGAGUGAAGUCAAGAAUGCUAUAAAGGAAGAAAAAGUAAAUAAAGCUGCAGGAAAGUCAGAAGUAACAUUAGAAAUAAUUAAAGCACUGGGAAAUCUAGGAAAAGUGUGGUUGCACACAGUGUUUGAAAAUAUCUAGGAUGUAGAGGAAAUGCCAAGGUACUUGAAUGAUGGUUGGAAGAUUGAAAUGUAUAUACAAAAAGGAGAAAUAUUAAACUGGGAACUACAUAGGAAUAAAACUUUUGGAGCAUAUAUUGAAGAUACUAGAAAGAAUAGUAUCAGGAAGGUUGCGAGAGUUGACAGAUAUAUACAUAAGCAGCAGGUUAGGUUUAUGAAAGGAAAGAGCACAGUGAAUGCCAUUUUUAUAGUAAAACAAAGUCCGAGAGAAGUAUCUAGAAGGAAAUAGGAAAGUUUACAUGUGUUUUGUUGAUCUUGAAAAGGCAUAUGACAGAGAGGAGUACCAGAGAAGAUGGCAAGGUUAGUGAAGGUGAUGUAUGAGGGGGGGCAAGAGCCACUGCAGACAAAAUAUGGGGAGACAGUUAUUUCCCCAUGGAGGUUGGCCUCUAUAUCAGGGAUCAGCUCAAGUCCAUUCUUUUCCUCGUCGUUAUAGACACUGACAUCAGAUUAAGGAACAACGAAGAACUGUGGGAACUAAUAUUUGCUGAUGAUUUAGUCAUUAUAGCAGACACAGGAGAACUGUAAGAAGGGGUUUAAGCAUGGAAAGGAGCCUUGGAAAGGAAAGGAAAGGAUUGAAAGUGAUUAAUGGAAAGACAGGUAAUGAUUAGUAGUAGAGGACUUGGGAUCUGUAAUGAGAGAGGAGGGAGGUACUGAGAAAGUUGCGAGACAGAAUUGAAGAAACUUGGUGAAAAUGGAGAAAAGUAACUCGAGUUGUUUUAGACAAAUGUCAUUAAGGCUCAAAAUGAAGAUUUAUGAGUUAUCAGGCCUAUACUAUUAUAUGGGGCAAAAACUUGGGCACUUUAAAGGAAAGAGGAAGGACUGUUGGAAAGAACAGAGAUGAGGAUGGUGAGAUGGAUUGCUGGAGUAUCACAACUAUACUGGAAAGGAGGGAAGAGUCGAGAUAUAUACGACUAAUGUGUGGUAGUAUACUAUAUGUAAUGUAAAGGAAAGGAUAAGGAAGCUCGUCUGAAAUACUAUGGCCGUGUAAUAAGAGCUUCCGUGAUACUAUAGCCAUGUAAUAAGAACAGAGGAAGUGGAACCAAUCAAGAGAGCUAAGAACAUGCCAGUGAUGGGGAGGAUGAGUGUGGGGCGUCAGCGGAUCAGAUGGAUGGAUGUGGUGAGGAGGGAUAUGGGUGAGGUGGGACGGGGGAAAGAAGAUAAGAUGCAAGGAAUCGAAAUAAAUGGAGAAAGUCGACACGAGCAGCUGACCUGCUAUACAGUGGGACUAUAAGGUCAAAAGAUGAUGAUGAUGAUAUAUGAACUUCAGAAAAAUGACUGAAAAUAGUAACCACCACCUACUAUCACACUCACCCGGGCAAGCAUAUAUUGAACAAUUACCUUCUGGAUACUGCAAAUCAUAAGUAAAGUAAUGAAAAACUAGCCUUUUAACAUACAUGACUUCUCAAUAUAGGAUGGUCAAAUUAUAUCCAUGACUACCUAAUAGCUGAUAUCACACCUGUAAAGGUGUGUUUACACGAUCGAACUAUGUUCGACGGACAAAAUCGUUACCAUAUCACAGGAGAAGCAGGAUGACGUCAUAAGAGGUGAAACGAUGGAAGCGGACCUGGCAACAAGCAGUGGUACCAGAUGAGGGUGUUUACCACCGUUUCGAAUCUGCUCACAGGGCAUAGACUGGUGGACAAUGUUCGAAGGUGAUGUCCGUUGGUAACUCAGGCAUUUAAUUCAGUGUGUGGCCUUGGACGACUGGUGCAGUACAUCACUACCAUGGUACACAGGAAAAAAAACAAGGCCAAAAAAAUUGCACUAUGCAGUAUGAUCAUUGCUGUACUCUGUGAGGAGGAGGAGGAGAUGCCAAGAAGGGUAUGGUGCAAGGACUGGUUGCACAAACGAAAUGAAAGGGGAAGCCAUGCAACCGUUUUUCAAGAAUUGAGAACUGGCUAUGAAUCGGACUUCACGAACUAUAUGCGCAUGGACCCAAAUACUUUCUACGAUUUACUGGAAAAGGUUAAACCUGUUAUAACCAAGCAGGACACCUGUAUGAGGGAGAGCAUUUCACCUGCAGCACGUCUGGAAGCAACGUUGAUGUAUCUUUCCACCGGGUGCUCCUACAGUGCCCUUCAAUUCAGUACAAGAAUUUCAAAACCGAGUCCGUCUGCAAUCAUUCCUGAUACGUGCAAAGCCAUCGAUAAUGUGCUUAAGGAUCCAUACUUAAAGACACCCCAAACAGCAGAGGAGUGGGUGCGUGUAGCAGAGGGGUUUUCCAAGAAGUGGAACUUUCCUAAUUGCAUCGGAGCAGUUGACGGGAAGCACAUCCUGAUAAGGCCACCACCUGAUAGCGGCUCCUUCUACUACAACUACAAAGGAAGCCACAGCAUCGUGUUAAUGGCUGUCUCCAAUGCAGACUCAAACUUCAUAUAUGUUGACGUGGGCACUAAUGGAUGAGUGUCGGAUGGUGGAGUUUGGGAUACCUGUUCUCUCAACCAGCAUAUUGAAACAGGAUCUGUGGGUAUGCCAGAUGAUGAGACACUCCCUAACAGCUCAAAAGUAUCACCAUAUGUGAUCGUUGCUGAUGAUGCAUUUCUUCUGAAGCGCCAUAUCAUGAAACCUCUCUCUCAUCGAAAUCAAAACCUUGAGCAACGUGUGUUUUCCUACCGACUGUCAAGAGCUCGACGCACCAUAGAAAACUCAUUCGGAAUACUUGCUAACAGAUUUGAAGUGUGCACUGCACUACAUAAUUACCUUCGCACAGCACCUGUCACCCCAAAUGUGUAUUCGGAUGCAAAUAACGAAAACACUGAAGACAUCCCUGGAAUGCUACCGCUCAAGUAUGAGCAACAAACCUCCACCAUCAAUGGCACAAUUGUACGCGAUCUGUAUAUGAAAUAUUUCAAUGAGGAAGGUGCUGUGAUCUGGCAAAACAUACAUACAUGAGGCUAAGUUACAAUAACUCCUGAGUAAAAUUAUAAUAGUAAUGUAUAAUACAAAUCACCAAUGUUGCAUAUUGAACAUACUUUACAUUGCUUUGUUGACAAAUGUAUUAUAAAGGUGGAUUAUGGCUAUAAAGGUGGAUUAUGGCAAUAAAGAAAAUAUGGCCAUGGUUUGGUUUAUAUUUUUUUUUUUUUUUCUCAAUGUAAGACAGGUAAACAGACAGAUAUACGACAAUUACGUACUCACCUCAUGAUCAGACACUUCUUCAGGUACAUGAGACACUUGGCUAUCCAUACUUGACACGGAUUCUCUCAUGCUGUCGCCAUCGUUGAGGAAGCAAAGAUCAUCAAAACACCAUAAUAUGGGGGUGUAAAUGUCGUCAGCACCAGCCCCCGACUUCUUUGAUUUCCCCAGUUUAUGUAGCUCUCGCCUAUAUUGACUACGGAUGGAUUUAUUUUUUUCUUCACUUCAGAAGCAGUAACAGAUAAUCCACUUCUAUUCAUUCCCGCCGUUAUUUCAUUGAUGGCUGCGACAUGUUUGUUCCUAUCCUUGUACACAUCAGCCUUGACAUUCCAUAAGCAUGGAUUUUGCCAGUAUACUAGUUCUAUUAGUAGCAGGGUCUCUUUUCUGUCCCAGUGGCAACUUUUCUCCUUGACAGGUACUGCUGGCCAUGUUAACAGGACAAUCGAGACUUUGAACUGACGGACUUUGAAAAUCCUGUAACCAAGUGACUUUGUUCGUCGUGUGCCUGGCAGCAUUGUAUACUUCCACACCAGACAGUGUGUGACAUUUCGAUGCUAGGAACACGGACAGUGUCCGGUACACCACUUGGUGCUCGCUUCUGACGUCAUCAGCGAGCCUUUUUGCUUUCCACUGCUAGUUGGUAACAAUUAUAUCCUUAACACACAGAGAUACCUCAUAUAUAAAGACUCCUCCAGUUCCUAUUUAGAAAAUACAAACAUUGAUAAUAUAAUGAACAUUAUCUUUCUUACAACAGUCGAAGGAGAUCAGACAAUCUCUUUCAUGUAUUUGGCAAGAUUUUUCAGCACCAACAAUGUCUCGUCUCUCAUCACCUCCCCUAAUUGGCUCAGUUAUUUUCAGUCAGAGUAAUUUGCUGCUAUCUACUGAAUUUCUUACAGUAAUUCUCAAAAGCCAAAUCAUUAUAUAUGUGAAAUACAACGGACCCAUAAUCACUAGGAAAUGACAGACAAAAUGAAAAAUAAAAAAUUUCAAAAUACCAAUAUUUUUAUAUAAAGUUAUGAAUACGAAAAAGAUCUACAUUCAAGCUCAUUUUCUAUUGCAUUUAUAAUUAUUUUACCAAAAUUAAUAAACUUCUUAAAAAUAUUCUAAAAGUUACUGGCACUGCUAGUACACAAGCUUCAGUUUCUCUUUCACUCUCACCAGCUGUUCAGUCUAUCUUAAGCUUAGGUAAAAAUCUUGAAUCGAUUCAUUAUGAAAUUCUAUAAAACCAACUUCUUAAAAAAAAAAAAAUUAUUUCAUGUUCAUCAAGCACCUACCUUUCUGAAAAGUGUUGCAGAACAUUUUUGGAGAAUUUCCUUCAA